rnacentral:rRNA from 1 species
CAGCAGCCGCGGGAAUACGGAGGGGGCUAGCGUUGUUCGGAAUUACUGGGCGUAAAGCGCACGUAGGCGGCUUGGUAAGUUAGAGGUGAAAGCCUGGAGCUCAACUCCAGAAUUGCCUCUAAGACUGCCGAGCUAGCAGGUGAGAGAGGUAAGUGGAAUUCCGAGUGUAGAGGUGAAAUUCGUAGAUAUUCGGAAGAACACCAGUGGCGAAGGCGGCUUACUGGCUCAUACUGGACGCUGAGGUGCGAAAGCGUGGGGAGCAAACAGGAUUAGAUACCCCCGUAGUCCCUGUCUCUUAUAC